AAUGGUUCUGGUCAUCCUUUCAGGUGAUACAUAACCAAAGCUUCUGAGGUUUCAGAAGUAUUGACUUGUUCCAAUCAAGAAUAAGGAAACCACUUAUACCUACUAGAUUUUUAACAGUACAGCUGAUCGUAUGGAGAGAAAGAGAGAAAUAAAGCAACAGGAUUGGCUCUUAGAAGCGGUAAGCAACAUUUGAUGAAGGAAACAGGCAGCGUGGACAGUAUUCAAGACACAAUGUUUAAAAGUUGCUGCUGGGAUGGAAGCAAAGAAGAAAGCCCUGGAGACGGGUUAGUGCUGGGACACAGGCACUAUCCUGGAGGGGCCUGGGACAGGGUGUUUAACCAUAGUGACCAGUGGGUCCUUUCCCCACUGUGGUCCUGGCUCGCAUGCACAGGGUGAAACCGAUCGCCAUGUUUGGGGUCAGGAAGGAAUUUUCCUCCAGGGCAGAUUGGCCAGAGACCCUGGAGGUUUUUCGCCUUCCUCUGGGGCAUCGAGCAGGGACCAGCCCUUAGGGCCAUUUAGGAACAGACAUAAUAAAAUCAAUCAGAGAGAA